UUGGAGGGCAAGUCUGGUGCCAGCAACCGCGGUAAUUCCAGCUCCAAUAGCGUAUAUUAAAGUUGUUGCAGUUAAAAAGCUCGUAGUUGAAUUUCGGGAUCAAUAUUUCGGUCAUGCCGUUGGUAUGCACUGUUAUCAUUGAUUUCUCACCUUCUAAAGAACCGUAAUGCCAUUAAUUUGGUGUUACGGGGAAUUAGGACUGUUACCUUGAAAAAAUUAGAGUGUUUAAAGCAGGCUCACGCUUGAAUACAUUAGCAUGGAAUAAUGAAAUAGGACAUCCGAUUCUAUUUUGUUGGUUUCUAGGAUCGAUGUAAUGAUUAAUAGGGAUAGUUGGGGGCAUUAGUAUUCAAUUGUCAGAGGUGAAAUUCUUGGAUUUAUUGAAGACUAACUACUGCGAAAGCAUUUGCCAAGGAUGUUUUCAUUAAUCAAGAACGAAAGUUAGGGGAUCGAAGACGAUCAGAUACCGUCGUAGUCUUAACCAUAAACUAUGCCGACUAGGGAUCGGAUGAUGUUAAUUUUUUAAUGACUCAUUCGGCGCCUUACGGGAAAC
rnacentral:rRNA from 1 species